rnacentral:rRNA from 1 species
ACCGAUAGUGAACCAGUACCGUGAGGGAAAGGCGAAAAGAACCCCUGUGAGGGGAGUGAAAUAGAACCUGAAACCGUGUACGUACAAGCAGUAGGAGCACCUUCGUGGUGUGACUGCGUACCUUUUGUAUAAUGGGUCAGCGACUUAAUUUUAGUAGCAAGGUUAACCGUUUAGGGGAGCCGUAGGGAAACCGAGUCUUAACUGGGCGUACAGUUGCUAGGAUUAGACCCGAAACCAGGUGAUCUAGCCAUGGGCAGGUUGAAGGUUGAGUAACAUCAACUGGAGGACCGAACCGACUAAUGUUGAAAAAUUAGCGGAUGACUUGUGGCUAGGGGUGAAAGGCCAAUCAAACC